rnacentral:RNase_P_RNA from 1 species
GAGGAAAGUCCGGGCUCCAUAGGGCAGGGUGCCAGGUAACGCCUGGGGGGGAAACCCACGACCAGUGCAACAGAGAGCAAACCGCCGAUGGCCCACGCAAGUGGGAUCAGGUAAGGGUGAAAGGGUGCGGUAAGAGCGCACCGCGCGGCUGGUAACAGUCCGUGGCACGGUAAACUCCACCCGGAGCAAGGCCAAAUAGGGGUUCACAUGGUACGGCCCGUACUGAACCCGGGUAGGCUGCUUGAGCCAGUGAGCGAUUGCUGGCCUAGAUAAUGACUGUUCAACGACAGAANCCGGCUUA